UACGUAGGUGGCAAGCGUUGUCCGGAUUUAUUGGGUUUAAAGGGUGCGUAGGCGGCUUAUUAAGUCAGUGGUGAAAGACGAUAGCUUAACUAUCGAGGUGCCAUUGAUACUGAUGAGCUUGAGUACAGUUGAGGUAGGCGGAAUGGACGGUGUAGCGGUGAAAUGCAUAGAUAUCGUCCAGAACACCGAUAGUGAAGACAGCUUACCAAGCUGUAACUGACGCUGAGGCACGAAAGUGUGGGGAUCAAACAGGAUUAGAUACCCUGGUAGUCCACACUGUAAACGUUGAUAACUCGCUGUUGGCGAUAUACAGUCAGCGGCCAAGCGCAAGCGAUAAGUUAUCCACCUGGGGAGUACGCCGGCAACGGUGAA
rnacentral:rRNA from 1 species